CUUUCGCUUGAGAACAGAGAGGUGGAUUAAUAGUCUGCCAAUUUGAGGGUAUCAGGUAAAGAAGCACCGGCUAACUCCGUGCCAGCAGCUGCGGUAAUACGGAGGGUGCAAGCAUUAAUCGGAUUUAUUGGGCGUAAAGGGCGCGUAGGCGGCCGUGUAAGUCGAGUGUGAAAUUCCGGGGCUCAACCCCGGAGCUGCAUUCGAAACUACACGGCUAGAGGUUAGGCGGAGAAAACGGAAUUCCACGUGUAGCGGUGAAAUGCGUAGAUAUGUGGAAGAACACCGGUGGCGAAGGCGGUUUUCUAGUCUAAACCUGACGCUGAGGCGCGAAAGUCAGGGGAGCAAACAGGAUUAGAUACCCUGGUAGUCCUGACCGUAAACGAUGCAUACUAGAUGUAGCUGGUCUCAACCCCGGCUGUGUCGAAGCUAACGUGUUAAGUAUGCCGCCUGGGGAGUACGCUCGCAAGGGUGAAACUCAAAAGAAUUGACGGGGGCCCGCACAAGCAGUGGAGCAUGUGGUUUAAUUCGAUGCAACGCGAUGAACCUUACCCAGAUUUGACAUAUAGAGGACCGCAUCAGAAAUGGUGUUUCCCGCAAGGGUCUCUAAACAGGUGCUGCAUGGCUGUCGUCAGCUCGUGCUGUGAGGUGUUGGGUUAAGUCCCGCAACGAGCGCAACCCUUAUCGUUAGUUGCCAGCGAGUAAUGUCGGGGACUCUAGCGAGACUGCCUGNGUUAACCAGGAGGAAGGUGAGGAUGACGUCAAGUCCGCAUGGCCUUUAUAUCUGNGGCUACACACGUGC
rnacentral:rRNA from 1 species